AGUGAACGCUGGCGGUAGGCCUAACACAUGCAAGUCGAACGGCAGCACAGUAAGAGCUUGCUCUUACGGGUGGCGAGUGGCGGACGGGUGAGGAAUACAUCGGAAUCUACUUUUUCGUGGGGGAUAACGUAGGGAAACUUACGCUAAUACCGCAUACGACCUACGGGUGAAAGCAGGGGAUCUUCGGACCUUGCGCGAUUGAAUGAGCCGAUGUCGGAUUAGCUAGUUGGCGGGGUAAAGGCCCACCAAGGCGACGAUCCGUAGCUGGUCUGAGAGGAUGAUCAGCCACACUGGAACUGAGACACGGUCCAGACUCCUACGGGAGGCAGCAGUGGGGAAUAUUGGACAAUGGGCGCAAGCCUGAUCCAGCCAUACCGCGGGGGUGAAGAAGGCCUUCGGGUUGUAAAGCCCUUUUGUUGGGAAAGAAAAGCAGCAGGUUAAUACCCCGCUGUUCGGACGGGACCCAAAGAAUAAGCACCGGCGAACUUCGG
rnacentral:rRNA from 1 species